GGGCGGGUUGAACGAUCUACAAGACAAGACGGAACCUCUAUAUCUAUCCUGGCGAAAUUAUUUGUUUCAGGUCAUGCAAGCGAAAACGGCC